UACGUAGGAAUCUACCUCUAAGUAAGGCAUAGCCCGCCGAAAGGCGGGGUAAUUCCUUAUGUGAUGGCAACAUCAAAGAUUUAUCGCUUAGAGAUGAGCCUACGGCCUAUCAGGUAGUUGGUUGGGUAAAUGCCUACCAAGCCUAUGACGGGUAGCUGGUAUAAGAGUAUGACCAGCCAGAGGGGCACUGAGACACGGGCCUCACCCCUACGGGGGACAGCAAUCGGGAAUUUUGCGCAAUGGGCGAAAGCCUGACGCAGCGACGCCGCGUGAAGGAUUAAGGCCUUCGGGUUGUAAACUUCGUUGUAAGCACCGGCUAACUACGUG
rnacentral:rRNA from 1 species